AUCAUGGCUCAGGAUGAACGCUAGCGACAGGCCUAACACAUGCAAGUCGAGGGGCAGCACGGGAGUAGCAAUACAACUGGUGGCGACCGGCGCACGGGUGAGUAACACGUAUGCAACCUACCUGUAAGAGGGGAAUAACCCGGAGAAAUUCGGACUAACACCGCAUAAUACCGAUUAACUGCAUGGUUGAUCGGUUAAAUAUUUAUAGCUUACAGAUGGGCAUGCGUAACAUUAGAUAGUUGGUGAGGUAACGGCUCACCAAGUCAACGAUGUUUAGGGGUUCUGAGAGGAAGGUCCCCCUCACUGGUACUGAGACACGGACCAGACUCCUACGGGAGGCAGCAGUGAGGAAUAUUGGUCAAUGGGCGAGAGCCUGAACCAGCCAAGUCGCGUGAAGGAAGAAGGUUCUAUGGAUUGUAAACUUCUUUUGUAAGGGAAUAAAAAAGCUUACGUGUAGGCUAUUGUAUGUACUUUACGAAUAAGGAUCGGCUAACUCCGUGCCAGCAGCCGCGGUAAUACGGAGGAUCCAAGCGUUAUCCGGAUUUAUUGGGUUUAAAGGGUGCGUAGGCGGACCUAUAAGUCAGUGGUGAAAGUUUGCAGCUCAACUGUAAAAUUGCCAUUGAAACUGUUGGUCUUGAGUGUAAAUGAGGUAGGCGGAAUGUGUUGUGUAGCGGUGAAAUGCUUAGAUAUAACACAGAACACCAAUUGCGAAGGCAGCUUACUGGGAUACAACUGACGCUGAGGCACGAAAGCGUGGGGAUCAAACAGGAUUAGAUACCCUGGUAGUCCACGCAGUAAACGAUGAAUACUAGCUGUAUGCGAUAUACUGUAUGUGGCAAAGCGAAAGCGUUAAGUAUUCCACCUGGGGAGUACGUUCGCAAGAAUGAA
rnacentral:rRNA from 1 species